rnacentral:rRNA from 1 species
GACAGAGGAGCCAAGCGUUGUCCGGAUUGACUGGGCGUAAAGCGCACGCAGGCGGCUGUGCACGUGGGGUGUGAAAACUGGCGGCUUAACUGCCAGAGGCCAUCCCAUACGGCGUGACUCGAGCCAUGCAGAGGUCCACGGAAUUGCCGGUGUAGUGGUGAAAUGCGUUGAGAUCGGAAGGAACGCCCGUGGCGAAAGCGAGUUCCUGGACGUCGGCUGACGCUGAGACGCGAAAGCCAGGGGAGCGAACGGG